CCCUGAACAGUUGGGGCAAGUAUGGACACAACAUUCAAGCUUGAUACAGCUCUGAAUUUGGAUUGUGAUUAAAUAUUUGACACAGCAUAGGUUUCUGACACAGAAUGAAUGUGGUCUAAGAACUUAAAAAUUUUAAAUUGGACAUUCACCUAUUAUGGUCCAAUAUCCAAAAUCUAAAUACAUGGUUAGAUUCAGCAUAUCAAAGAACCCCAAGAAUUCAAUUUUUGAUGAAAUCAAACAAAGUUUAAUUUUGGACCCUUUUU